rnacentral:lncRNA from 1 species
AUGCUAUGCAUGAAUUAUGUUUUGGAUGGAUUUUCAGUGUUUUGUGCAAACCUUAUUUUUCAGGGUGAACCUGGUCCAAAAGGAGAGAAGGGUGCAUGCGGAGAGUACACUCACAGGAAACGCCGUAUUGUCAACGCCUCAGCUGGAGGACAGGCCACACAGGGUGAGCCUGGAGCACAAGGACCACCGGGACCUCCUGGCCCCCCAGGCCCACCUGGGCCUCUUGGCCUAACUGGUGCUAUUGGGCCUCCGGUAAGUCGAAAUCUUCUGCAUUAGAAAAUGAUUCCCCACAAGCUCUUUGUUUUUCAAAUAUAUUACAUGGCUUUAUGAAAUAAUUAGUUUAGAUUUUUUUAUUGAUGUAUUUC